GUACAAUCCCAUACUUAUAUAUAUUGCAUGAGAUUCUCAGAUGUAUUAUGGAAUUUGUCAAGGAAGAAUUCUGUGCUUAAGUUACAGGUGUCAGCCAAGUCAUUGUCCAGCUUGUAAAGCAUUACGGUCUGUAUUAGCAUGUGUGAGAAGCACAGAGGGAGAAUUUCUAACUUUCUGGGCACUGAGGCUCAGUAACUGCCCUCGACAACAGUGAGAAGCUCAAACCAACUGUAUAUUAGGCUUGUUGACCAUUUAAACUGCACACUGUUAGUUUUUCUGAAGAGCUGUUUCAUUUGCUGUCAACAUAGAGCAAAGUGUCUUUGGUACUACAAUGCACUUGAGCUUCUUGUCAUUGACUCUUUUUUAAAUUUAGUUUUGAUAAGAAUAAUUCUCCUUUUCAUAUAUGAGCUCACCUGAAGGAGCCCACUAAUAUUUCUAAAUCACACUAGUAAGAUCUUCGUCUAUAAGCCAUGCCUAAAAUAUUCACAGGAUUUUCUCUGAUUCCCAGCAAGGUCUUCAAAAGGGAUUCUAAAAUUUAAAAUUCCAUUACAUGUACAUUUUUUUCAGAAUGAUGAAACGAAGACAACAUAAAAAUAACGAAUCGGCAUA
rnacentral:lncRNA from 1 species